AUUGAACGCUGGCGGCAGGCCUAACACAUGCAAGUCGAGCGGGGUUUUCGGACCUAGCGGCGGACGGGUGAGUAAUGCGUAGGAAGCUGCCCGAUAGAGGGGGAUACCAGUUGGAAACGACUGUUAAUACCGCAUAAUGUCUACGGACCAAAGUGUGGGACCUUCGGGCCACAUGCUAUCGGAUGCGCCUACGUGGGAUUAGCUAGUUGGUGAGGUAAUGGCUCACCAAGGCGACGAUCUCUAGCUGGUUUGAGAGGAUGAUCAGCCACACUGGAACUGAGACACGGUCCAGACUCCUACGGGAGGCAGCAGUGGGGAAUAUUGGACGAUGGGCGCAAGCCUGAUCCAGCCAUGCCGCGUGUGUGAAGAAGGCCUUCGGGUUGUAAAGCACUUUCAGCGAGGAGGAAGGGGUGUGUGUUAAUAGUACACACCUUUGACGUUACUCGCAGAAGAAGCACCGGCUAACUCUGUGCCAGCCGCCGCAGUAAGAC
rnacentral:rRNA from 1 species